rnacentral:lncRNA from 1 species
CCACCAAUUAACAAUCUUUAGACUUAAUCAAGAAUCACUUUUGAAUCAAAAAUUAUUUUUUAUCUGCAAUAGUAAUAAAUGCCAGAAACAACAUACAGAUGGGAUAAAAGUUGCAUUUUCAGAAACCAAUCGGACUAGAGGAAAAUAAAGGGAUGAAGAAAGAUCUUUUGUAAAAAAAGGGAAAUCGCACCUUGUGUGAUGCAACAGAACUAGGAUUUUUUGUCAAAAAUUUUGCCCAUAAACUCAACCUGGAAUCCCAAAUUUUGACAAAAAUUAGAAGGAAGCUAGCGAUCUUUUAGGAGGCUCUUUUUCUUCACUAGUUUUUCCGUCAGUGCUCAAUCUUUUCCUUGUUUUAAAAUGCUCUUUUUACUCAUUUUCUUGUUAUUCUUUUGUGAAUUUAUUUUGAUUGUUUUUCCAUGGAUUUGAAGCUUCAAGACUUUCUUUUUGUACAUUUUUGAGACUUACUCACUGGUUUUUACUCUUCUCUUUCCCACCGAUUUGAAGCCUAUUCUCUGGAGGUGGAGAGCUCACUAUUUAUAGGUGCGAAUUCAAACUUGAAAAUCUGGAUUUGAAACCUUAGAAUAAAAAAAAGGAAAAAGAAAAGAUGGAUUUUGAAUUCAAAUCCAAAAACCUCUUUCAAAUCUCAGCUUUUUCAGGCUAUUAAUGGUAGAUUUGAAACCGAAAUUAGGUUGUUGCAUCGAUUAGGGACCUGUCCAUUCUAUUUUUUAGACUGAUAGGAUGGAGGAAAGAAUUUAGAGAAAUCUCGCAUUCUAGCGGCUAGGCUGCGGUAGCUAUGGCCACUAGACAUUUUGAUUUGGGGUGGUGGUAGAUAACACGAUGAAGAGAGGGAGGGGAAGGUGGCCUGAUUUAUAUUUUUUGGGUAAUAAGAUGAAUAUAGAAUGGGUUCUUCGGAAAUGG